GUUUUUGUAGUGUAGUGGUUAUCAUGCUUGCCUCACACGUGAAAGGUCCCCAGUUCUCAACCGGGUAGGAACG